CCCAGCAAUGGGAUGCGAAUCUCGAAAGCCUGUCUCAGUUCGGAUUGGAGGCUGAAACCCGCCUCCAUGAAGUUGGAUUCGCUAGUAAUCGCGCAUCAGCCAUGGCGCGGUGAAUACGUUCCCGGGCCUUGUACACACCGCCCGUCAAGCCAUGGGAGCCGGGGGUGCCUGAAGUUCGUGACCGCAAGGAGCGACCUAGGGCAAAACUGGUGACUGGGGCUAAGUCGUAACAAGGUAUC
rnacentral:rRNA from 1 species